UUACGGUCACAUCGCGAAGAAACACCGGUCCCCGGUUGAUCACCGAAGUUAAGCAAUGUUGAGCUUGGUCAGUACUUAGAUGGGUGAUUGCUUGGGCAUACCAGGUGUUGUAAG